ACGUCUAGUUCAUCGAACUGAAGAAUUGGAAGUAAAUUUUCAGAGGAUUUAGGAUCCGCAAAAGAAAUAUUAUGCUUCUUAAUGUAACGGUCAUACGCUUCUUCAUCAUUAUGAUUAGAAGCGUUAGCUGAGCCGAUCGCGGGUUGUGCGAUUUUUGCUCCCUCUUCCGCAUUGAUUUCUAUCGAUUCUUCUUUAGUUUUUGAUUUUCCUUUCUUUGAUUUCUUUUUAUCCUUUUUUGAAAUUCUAUCCUUGUCGGCAGAGGGCUUAUCUUUUUUAUGCUUCUUAUGCUCAUGCUUUGAUUUCUUCUCCUUUCGCUUAACAGAAGCUUCUUCAUCCGCCGAUCUUUUUAACUCUUCCACUGAUCGUUUCGCCAUUUUUAAAAGGAAAGCUUUGAAGAGAA